GACGAACGCUGGCGGCGUGCCUAACACAUGCAAGUCCACGAGAAAGCGGUAGCAAUACUGCCGGUAAAGUGGCGAACGGGUGAGUAACACGUAGGUAACUUGCCCUUGGGACUGGAAUAACCUCGAGAAAUCGGGGCUAAUACCGGAUAAUGCAGCGGACCCGCAUGGGUAUGUUGUUAAAGUGGUCUUGGCUUGCCAAGUUCACACCUAAGGAUGGACCUGCGUCCCAUUAGCUAGNGGUGAGGUAACGGCUCACCAAGGCGACGAUGGGUAGCCGGCCUGAGAGGGUGUCCGGCCACACUGGGACUGAGAUACGGCCCAGACUCCUACGGGAGGCAGCAGUGAGGAAUAUUGGUCAAU
rnacentral:rRNA from 1 species